ACGUGAUUACCCGCUGAACUUAAGCAUAUCACUAAGCGGAGGAAAAGAAACUAACAAGGAUUCCCUCAGUAACGGCGAGUGAACAGGGAAAAGCCCAGCACCGAAGCCUGUGGCCAGUUGGUCAUUAGGCAAUGUGGUGUUUAGGUCGUUCCGCAGAGGCACUGCUCCACCCCAAGUCCAUCAAUGAGUACGGUAGUACAGACAUGGCCCAUGGAGGGUGAAAGGCCCGUUCGGGUGGAGAUUCGGCAGGCCAGUGCUUCUCUGGGUAGACCUUGGAGUCGGGUUGUUUGUGAAUGCAGCCCAAAGUGGGUGGUAAACUCCAUCCAAGGCUAAAUACAAGCACGAGUCCGAUAGCGAACAAGUACCGUGAGGGAAAGUUGAAAAGUACUUUGAAGAGAGAGUUAACAGUGCGUGAAACCGCUCAGAGGUAAACAGGUGGAGUUGAACUGCAAGCUUUGAGAAUUCAGCUGGUGAGGUUGGUUUGGGCUUGGUCAAAUUGGUUGGGCCCCGAAGUACGUUAAACCACGUGUCCUUUCCCUUUGGGUUGGGAUGUGCGAUACACUUACCAAGUGUUGCACGAA
rnacentral:rRNA from 1 species